ensembl:lncRNA
GGUGUCAUGGGGAAGCACGCCCGACAGAUCCACGUUACUGCUUGUCCCCGGGACAGAGUGCGGGAAAUCAAUGCGGUUCAAAUACGUUCAUGGAUGCAGGAGUGCUAAUUCCCUCCAGAUUUCGCCCGAAGGCGCAGGUUUCAAGGCUGCACACGGUGACUGAGCAUCCUAACAUUUCAAAAUUCAAAGGUUCAAGCUUCAAGGUUUUACUUCAAAAAGAUGUUUUUGCUGAAUUGAUCAAGACUGACUGUAAGAGUGUAAACAUCGAGUAACUAUGAUGUUCGAGCCCUCUCAAGAACAGGGUUUGGAACCAGGGCCAGUUCCAUGGAUAAUGAACUCAAAGACAUUUUUGAAUAAUGAUGCAGUAGUACGCUGUACAAGAACUUGGCUGGUGACCCACUUUACAUCUCCUUGCUAAACACUGGAGAAUCAUGCAAAGACAUUCAUGUAACAAAUUGACCUCUUACCGCAACCAUGGCCUUGAGUGACAAGAAGACCAGUCUUAAGGCAGCAUUGGUGAGUGUGUUCUCUAACCAGGAGCCCAGAUUACCCACAAAAUCUAUAAACAUUUACCAAGAUCCUCCUCUUUACCUGCCACUGCCACUCAGUUAGUACAGGCUGGAUCCCACACAGAGUGUGCAUGUCUACAGUGAGGAGGAACUCUUCAACCUUGAAAGUUUAUUGGUCACAGAGGACAUGGUACAUAAGAUUGAGACAGCAAAAGGAGAACAGACAGCUGACCAGGAAUGGCAUCAGCUCAACAACGCAAGGAUCACAUCUUCAUCUUGUUAUGUGAGGUGUGAAAUUGUACAGAGAAUGCUCUAUUUUGAGACAUAUGUCAGAAUACUGGAGAACAAGGAGAACAAAAUAUUUGACACCAUUAUUGUGCCCACUCUAUCAGAUGAGCUAUCUGAUCUCCAAGUGAACUGAUUUGUACUGUGAAAACAUUUUAUGCUAGUAUUCUGACGUGGGCGUCAGAAUACUUUCAAAACACAUUGGCAUAAUGGUUCCAGUCAUCUCAUGAGAGAGCCAUAUCCCAAAUGGAUCAAUUUCAUGAUGUUCUGCCAAUUUUUCACAGUUCAGCAACAGGUAGUUGAGGUAACUUCAGCUUGUUUAGCUUUUAUUCAGUGUUUGUGUUAUAAAUGUCAU